rnacentral:sRNA from 1 species
AGGAUCAUUACAGAGUUCAUGCCCGAAAGGGUAGACCUCCCACCCUUGUGUAUUAUUACUUUGUUGCUUUAGGCAAGCCGCCUUCGGGCCUAAUGUGCUUCCUAAAGGAUAUCGAACCUCUUUUUAUUAAUGUCGUCUGAGUACUAUAUAAUAGUUAAAACUUUCAACAACGGAUCUCUUGGUUCUGGCAUCGAUGAAGAACGCAGCGAAAUGCGAUAAGUAAUGUGAAUUGCAGAAUUCAGUGAAUCAUCGAAUCUUUGAACGCACAUUGCGCCCCUUGGUAUUCCGGGGGGCAUGCCUGUUCGAGCGUCAUUUCAUCCCUCAAGCUCAGCUUGGUAUUGAGCCUAUGUCAGUAAUGGCAGGCUCUAAAAUCAAUGGCGGCGCCACUGGGUCCUAAACGUAGUAAAAUAUCUCGUUACAGGCUCUCAGCGUGCUUCUGCCAAAACCCUAAUUUUUUUAAUGAUUGACCUCGGAUCAGGUAGGGAUACCCGCUGAACUUAAGCAUAUCAAUAAGCGGAGGAAAAGAAACCAACAGGGAUUACCUCAGUAACGGCGAGUGAAGCGGUAAAAGCUCAAAUUUGAAAUCUGGCUCUUUUAGAGUCCGAGUUGUAAUUUGUAGAAGAUGUUUCGGGCGUGGUUCCGGUCUAAGUUCCUUGGAACAGGACGUCAUAGAGGGUGAGAAUCCCGUAUGUGACUGGAUACCUAUGCUCAUGUGAAACUCUUUCGAC